UUUCCCCUUAGGUUGAACCUGCGGAGGUCAUUA
rnacentral:rRNA from 1 species